AUACUUACCUGGCAGGGGAGAUACCAUGAUCACUAAGGUGGUUCUCCCAGGGCGAGGCUCAUCCAUUACACUCUGGGUGUGCUGACCCCUGCAAUUUCCCCAAAUGCGGGAAACUCGACUGCAUAAUUUAUGGUAGUGGGGGACUGCAUUUGCGCUCUCCCCUG
rnacentral:snRNA from 1 species